UACGGGGGGGGCAAGCGUCGUUCGGAAUUACUGGGCGUAAAGGGCUCGUAGGCGGCCAACUAAGUCGGACGUGAAAUCCCUCGGCUUAACCGGGGAACUGCGUCCGAUACUGGAUGGCUAGAGUUCGGGAGAGGGAUGCGGAAUUCCAGGUGUAGCGGUGAAAUGCGUAGAUAUCUGGAGGAACACCGGUGGCGAAGGCGGCAUCCUGGACCGACACUGACGCUGAGGAGCGAAAGCCAGGGGAGCAAACGGG
rnacentral:rRNA from 1 species